rnacentral:rRNA from 1 species
GACGAACGCUGGCGGCGUGCCUAAUACAUGCAAGUCGAACGCAGUGGGGACGGGUGAGUAACACGUGGGUGACCUCCCAUCAGAGGGGAUAACACUUGGAAACAGGUGCUAAACCGAUACUGAUGGAUGGACUCGCGGUGCAUUAGCUAGUUGGUGAGGUAACGGCUCACCAAGGCUACGAUGCCUAGCCGGCCUGAGAGGAUGACCGGCCACACUGGGACUGAGACACGGCCCAGACUCCUACGGGAGGCAGCAGUAGGGAAUCUUCGGCAAUGGACGAAAGUCUGACCGAGCAACGCCGCGUGAGUGAAGAAGGUUUUCGGGUCGUAAAACUCUGUUGUUAGGGAGGCGGUAUCGAACCAGAAAGCCACGGCUAACUACGUGCCAGCAGCCGCGGUAAUAC